GUCUUCUCUGUGUCGGCCAAUGGGGAAGAAGGAGCAGAGUUUCGGUGAAGAAUUUGAACCGAGUCGCGGAAGCAGCGGACGCUUCAAACUACCAUCUUGAUGUAGUUUCAGUGUGGUUUAAUUAAAGAAACCUAUUUUAUUUAUUUAAUUUAACCUUAUUUAAUUUGCCUUUUUUUACAAAAAAAAAUUCGUUGGACGGUGACCAUGAGGAGGAGUGAAAUCCAUGCUGCAGAGUCGGUAGAAUGUCUGACUCGAGCCCUUAACCGGUUGAAGGACAUCUGGGAGGAAAUAGGAAUUCCAGAGGAUCAGAGACUACAAAGGACUGAUGUGGUUAGGAAACAUAUCAAAGGCUUGCUGGACAUGAUGAUUGCUGAGGAGGACAGUCUAAGGAAGAGAUUGAUGAGCAGCAUAGAAUCCUGUCGUAAAGAGCUGGAUGUUCUGUGUACUGAGCUUCAACUAUCCCCAUUUGAGGAGGACGAGGGCAGGACGAUGCUACAGCUGGAGAAGGACAUCAGGUCACGCCUGGAGGUGAUGAUGAAACAGAAGAGUCAGAGGAUUAAGGAGCUGAAGAGACUGUCCAGGCAGGACCGGGAGCUGUGUGACAUCAUGUGUUCAGUCCCCUUCUGUAUCGACAUGGACACGGUCCCGUCCCAGGAGCAACUGGACAACUAUCGCUCUUACCUCAACGAUCUCACUAAAGAGAAGGAUCGUCGCCACGGUGAGUUUGUGGGUAUCAAGCGUCAGAUCAUUGUGUGUAUGGAGGAGCUGGACCAGCUGCCAGACACCAGCUUUGAGAGGGACGUGGUGUGUGAGGACGAGGAGGCCUUCUGUCUAUCCGGCGACAACAUCGCAGCUCUCCGACUGCUCCUGGGACAGCUGGAGGAUCGUAAGACCGAGAACGAGUUGGUGUGUAACUCCUACCGCAGUAAGAUCCAGGAGCUGUGGGAGAGACUGCAGGUCCUCCAGGAGGAACGAGAGGGCAUGUCUGAUCACAUGGUUCAGUCCAGGAAGAGAAACAUGGACGCUUUGGAAGCAGAGUGCCGGCGCCUGGAUGAGCUGAAAACGAAGAACAUGAAGCACGUGAUAGAAGCCGUCAGGGCCGACGUGGCUCUGUUCUGGGAGAGGUGUUUCUACAGCCUGGCGCAGAGACGGGCCUUCACACCCUACUACGAAGUUGACUACACCGUGGAGCUGCUGAACCUACAUGAGGCGGAGCUGCUGAGUCUGAAGACGCACUACGAAGACCACAGGGAGCUGUUUGAAGGAGUAACCAGGUGGCAAGACAGCUGGACUCUGUUCCUACAACUGGAGAAAAAGGUGACGGAUCCUUCUAGAUUCAACAACCGAGGCGGGAACCUACUCAAAGAGGAGAAGCAGAGGGCCGACCUGCAGAAAAGCCUGCCAAAGUUGGAGAAGAGCCUGAAGACCCAGGUAGAUCUAUGGGAAGAGGAACAGUCCAGAGAGUUCCUGGUUAACGGACAGCGGUUCCUCCAGUAUGUUGAGGAGCAGUGGGAACUACUGAGGCUGGAGAAGGAGAGGGGGAAGAAUGAGAGGCAACUGAGGAAGAACCAGCAGAUUGAACAUGACUUGCUGUAUGGUACUGCUCAACGAACCCCCUCCAAAAGACGCCUUGCAGGGACUCCUACUCCUGGCAAAGCAAGAAAGCUCAAUGCCACUAGCAGUAUCUACGUCUCUACUCCUAACGGCACCUUACGUUCUGCCUUCGGAGGAACCUUGUGUCAGUCUCCGGCCCUCAGACUACCCAUGUCUGCCAGCAAGCUUCCUCUGAGGACCCCAAGUUGUGUUGGAAGAACCCUCCGUACGGUGGAGAGGAACAAAGAGAACAUCUCCCACCUGAACGGACCGGCUCUGAGUGGUGUGUUAAGAAACCCGGCCCAAAGCCCCGCCUCACAUCGUAACAUCACCGUUAACUCUGUCGCCACCACCCAUUCCGAAUUUUCGGUAAUUUCCAACCCCAUUUCCUAGGUUAUCACCUACCCAAACAACCAAUCAUCGACCCAGCAACACACAAGCCAAUCAAAGAUGAGUGGGGACGUCUUUCUGUGUGUCCAGUGAGAGAAUAGCACCAGGUUUUCUAUUCAACAGUCUGUAACAGAGUGGUAAUAUGUUUAAGUGAAAGCUUAGCAUGCUAUCGUGGAAACCUGGACUACGACUGUUCCUUUUCUCUGUGACCAUUUAAAAAAAAAAUGUAUUUAUUUAACUGGGCAAGUCCGUUAAGAACAAAUUCUUAUUUACAAUGACGACCUCUGGGACUCCAAAUCACGGCCGGUUGUGAUACAGCCUGGAAUCAAACCAGGGUCUGUAGUGACGCCUCUAGCACUGAGAUGCAGUGCCUUAGACCGCUGCGGGCACUCAGGAGACCCCCAUCUAACUCUACAUUCUAUUUUAAAAGGAUUUUUGUCAACAUUGAAUCCACCUCUAUUGCCAGGUCUGAAUGAAGGAAUGUUUUAUUUAAACCCCAUAACAGGGAGACUCAACAUGCUAAAUGGCUAACCAAGAGUGCAACUGAGAGCCUGGUCUGGGUCGGUUGGCCUAACCAUCUUGUGAGGAGCAAUUUUUACAAUUUAUUGAAGAUCAAACAAACACUUUGUUGAACUGGACUGUGUGUUGCUGGGGGGUGGGGUGGUCAGUUUUAAUAUGGCCUCACAUUUAUUUAUUCAAUAUCCCCCCCCACACACACACACACACAAAAAUGUGAUCAGUUGAUAGACCAAUAAGUGUUCCAAACCUCUCAGCCAAUAACAGAUUCCCCUCCCCACUCAGACAACUCCCAGACAGUCCUGGCUAAAUUAUGUCUUGUGAAAUUGCUCUUUGCGAAGACAAUAUUUUUUUUGUUUUCUUUUUGACCAUUUUUUAAAAUUGAAAAACAAUCACACGAUUUCCUCUCAAAAGCUUCCAAAUCUGUCACGACAGGACCUCUAAACUCUACUGUCACUAAUCUCAGCUGAGGGCUCAGCCAGAACCUGUCCCUGAUUCAUCCAGCUGAGACACCCUUUUUCCUGGCUUGAGUGUCACGGUUUCUGUCCCCUGUCCAUUUUUUUUGUACAUGUCUAGAUGAAGGAAAUGUUUUUAACACCUGACCUGUAAUGUAUCGGAACAGAGCCCAGCGUCUCUCGGUGCAACUGUGUUCUAGCUCUGAGGUUUUCCAGAACUACUGCAUCGAUCCUGACUCACUCUGGCUCGCGAGGUCUUUUGUUUUUCACUUCUGUUGUCUGUGUCUAGAUGAUGUGUCAACACCAACAACUUUUUAAAUACUCUGUCAGAUUUGUAAUAUUUUUCUUAGAUUCUUUCUUUUUUAUUUAAAGCUUUGAUCUGAGAUUAAUGAAAUGUCGGGAGGACUUGAUUAAGUUUCAUGUUUUACGUAGGUCUAUGUUCAUAACACUCAUACUUUUAUUCGUUUUAUUAUCCAUGUUGUUGCUAGAGUAACUUGUUGUACUUCAUAUAAUUAUGGGAUGGGGGGGGGUAGCAAAUGAUGACCAUUCUGUCAAAUAAACAUUGGCUU